rnacentral:rRNA from 1 species
ACGUAGGGUGCGAGCGUUAAUCGGAAUUACUGGGCGUAAAGCGUGCGCAGGCGGUUUUGUAAGACAGGCGUGAAAUCCCCGGGCUUAACCUGGGAACUGCGUUUGUGACUGCAAGGCUAGAGUACGGCAGAGGGGGGUGGAAUUCCACGUGUAGCAGUGAAAUGCGUAGAGAUGUGGAGGAACACCAAUGGCGAAGGCAGCCCCCUGGGUCGAUACUGACGCUCAUGCACGAAAGCGUGGGUAGCAAACAGG